GAUGAACGCUGGCGGCGUGCCUAAUACAUGCAAGUCGAGCGAACAGAUGAGGAGCUUGCUCCUCUGACGUUAGCGGCGGACGGGUGAGUAACACGUGGAUAACCUACCUAUAAGACUGGGAUAACUUCGGGAAACCGGAGCUGAUACCGGAUAAUAUAUUGAACCGCAUGGUUCAAUAGUGAAAGACGGUUUUGCUGUCACUUAUAGAUGGAUCCGCGCCGCAUUAGCUAGUUGGUAAGGUAACGGCUUACCAAGGCAACGAUGCGUAGCCGACCUGAGAGGGUGAUCGGUCACACUGGAACUGAGACACGGUCCAGACUCCUACGGGAGGCAGCAGUAGGGAAUCUUCCGCAAUGGGCGAAAGCCUGACGGAGCAACGCCGCGUGAGUGAUGAAGGUCUUCGGAUCGUAAAACUCUGUUAUUAGGGAAGAACAAAUGUGUAAGUAACUAUGCACGUCUUGACGGUACCUAAUCAGAAAGCCACGGCUAACUACGUG
rnacentral:rRNA from 1 species